CUACGGGCCGCUGCAGUGGGGAAUAUUGCACAAUGGGCGCAAGCCUGAUGCAGCGACGCCGCGUGAGCGAUGAAGUAUUUCGGUAUGUAAAGCUCUAUCAGCAGGGAAGAUAAUGACGGUACCUGACUAAGAAGCACCGGCUAAAUACGUGCCAGCAGCCGCGGUAAUACGUAUGGUGCAAGCGUUAUCCGGAUUUACUGGGUGUAAAGGGAGCGUAGGUGGUUUGGCAAGUCAGAUGUGAAAGCCUGGGGCUCAACCCCGGAACUGCAUUUGAAACUGCCAGACUAGAGUGCAGGAGAGGUAAGGGGAAUUCCUAGUGUAGCGGUGAAAUGCGUAGAUAUUAGGAGGAACACCAGUGGCGAAGGCGGCUUACUGGACUGUAACUGACACUGAGGCUCGAAAGCGUGGGGAGCAAACAGGAUUAGAUACCCCGGUAGUC
rnacentral:rRNA from 1 species